AACUUAAGAAGUACGAUUAUUAUCCAUUUCAUUAUUUUACGUUCACAUAAUUUUUAUGCUUCGUAUGCAUCAUCAAAUGACAAAAAUGAAUAUUUUUAAACAUUAUUUUGUAACUAUUACAAUCAUAGUUCUUCCAAUUUUGAUUAUUCCAGCAACAUCAAAUCCAACAUAUAGCAAUAAUUCCGCAGAGUUCCAGAUUUGCCCAGGAAAUUUUAACAAAGAUGAUGCUGGUAUGGUAAAAUUUAUUUAUGAAUAAAAAUUUUUUAUUUAAUGGUUAUUGCAUUGAUAAUGAUAUGUAA